UCAGGUGCGGCUGGAUCACCUCCUUUGAGUUUGAUCCUGGCUCAGGAUGAACGCUGGCGGCGUGCCUAAUACAUGCAAGUCGAGCGAACAGACAAGGAGCUUGCUCCUUUGACGUUAGCGGCGGACGGGUGAGUAACACGUGGGUAACCUACCUAUAAGACUGGGAUAACUUCGGGAAACCGGAGCUAAUACCGGAUAAUAUUUCGAACCGCAUGGUUCGAUAGUGAAAGAUGGUUUUGCUAUCACUUAUAGAUGGACCCGCGCCGUAUUAGCUAGUUGGUAAGGUAACGGCUUACCAAGGCGACGAUACGUAGCCGACCUGAGAGGGUGAUCGGCCACACUGGAACUGAGACACGGUCCAGACUCCUACGGGAGGCAGCAGUAGGGAAUCUUCCGCAAUGGGCGAAAGCCUGACGGAGCAACGCCGCGUGAGUGAUGAAGGUCUUCGGAUCGUAAAACUCUGUUAUUAGGGAAGAACAUACGUGUAAGUAACUAUGCACGUCUUGACGGUACCUAAUCAGAAAGCCACGGCUAACUACGUGCCAGCAGCCGCGGUAAUACGUAGGUGGCAAGCGUUAUCCGGAAUUAUUGGGCGUAAGCGCGCGUAGGCGGUUUUUUAAGUCUGAUGUGAAAGCCCACGGCUCAACCGUGGAGGGUCAUUGGAAACUGGAAAACUUGAGUGCAGAAGAGGAAAGUGGAAUUCCAUGUGUAGCGGUGAAAUGCGCAGAGAUAUGGAGGAACACCAGUGGCGAAGGCGACUUUCUGGUCUGUAACUGACGCUGAUGUGCGAAAGCGUGGGGAUCAAACAGGAUUAGAUACCCUGGUAGUCCACGCCGUAAACGAUGAGUGCUAAGUGUUAGGGGGUUUCCGCCCCUUAGUGCUGCAGCUAACGCAUUAAGCACUCCGCCUGGGGAGUACGACCGCAAGGUUGAAACUCAAAGGAAUUGACGGGGACCCGCACAAGCGGUGGAGCAUGUGGUUUAAUUCGAAGCAACGCGAAGAACCUUACCAAAUCUUGACAUCCUUUGACAACUCUAGAGAUAGAGCCUUCCCCUUCGGGGGACAAAGUGACAGGUGGUGCAUGGUUGUCGUCAGCUCGUGUCGUGAGAUGUUGGGUUAAGUCCCGCAACGAGCGCACCCUUAAGCUUAGUUGCCAUCAUUAAGUUGGGCACUCUAAGUUGACUGCCGGUGACAAACCGGAGGAAGGUGGGGAUGACGUCAAAUCAUCAUGCCCCUUAUGAUUUGGGCUACACACGUGCUACAAUGGACAAUACAAAGGGCAGCGAAACCGCGAGGUCAAGCAAAUCCCAUAAAGUUGUUCUCAGUUCGGAUUGUAGUCUGCAACUCGACUACAUGAAGCUGGAAUCGCUAGUAAUCGUAGAUCAGCAUGCUACGGUGAAUACGUUCCCGGGUCUUGUACACACCGCCCGUCACACCACGAGAGUUUGUAACACCCGAAGCCGGUGGAGUAACCAUUUGGAGCUAGCCGUCGAAGGUGGGACAAAUGAUU
rnacentral:rRNA from 1 species